rnacentral:lncRNA from 1 species
GCACCUCGCAAACUAAACAAGCACAUACAAAGUGCUCAUACCAGCGAAGAACCACAAAACUCUGAAUAGAAGAAACCAAAGCUCCAAAACAAACUCUGAAUAGAAGAAACCAAAGCUCCAAAACACUAACUCCACACACCUACACCAAUGAAUGCACGAGAAGAAAAUAAACAACCUGAGUGGGAAAAAAUAGAAGCCAACCACCAAAAAAACCAAAGCUUAAUCUGGAGACCAUAAACAACUUUCCAAUCGUACAAAGCGCACACGGAGAAAAACACUAUCCAAACCUAGAGUAGCAAAUAUGGCGAAAAGAAGAACCACAGGAGACGUGAUCAGCGAUUAAAGGUGUAACGAGAUGAGAGAACAAAGAGAUAAAAAGAGACAAAAUAAAAUCAACAAACCGUGGAGGCAUCCUCGAAAUAUGAAAAAGAAUAUAGAAGUCAGAUCGCCAAAAAGCCGAUCUUGAAAACCAAGAUGAGCAGAGACUAUUGACGGCAAAUCAGCAACGAGGAAAACAACAUCAAUGACAACUAAAAUCUACCUCAACCCAACGAGAUGUAGUUUCUAAUCUUAGCCAAGACCUAAGGAAAAAGGACCAAUAUUGACUGAAAUAACAUAGAACGUUGUAAGAAACAACCGCACAACAUGGAACUAAUAUGUCUGAUCUAUAACAAAUGCAAAAUAAUCUCUCAGAAAAAGAAGAUGAGGAAAAACAAGAGCAUAGAGGUGAAUAUUUUCCCAAUGAUGGUGAGAAGCACUGCACUCGGGAGAGGUAAACGAAAUACAUAGAGGGUGAUGGCUCAAGGUCAAAAGAUGGAGGAGAGUGCAAGAAACACCUAAAAAUAGUAAUUUUCAAAAAUGUGAAAAAUUAAAAUAUAAUUUUGACGCCAUUAAUCAUAGAAUCAACAAAUGCUUAAAGACAAAGUUAUUGAAAUUCAAUAUGUUUUACGUCAGAAACUCACUUCACCACUAAUAAAUAGUAUUAUACAUAUAUAACAACACAUUAUUACAAAGACUAACACUUAAUAUAUUAAUUUAUUACCUACUACUACGUAACAUAAUAAAACAUCAAAUAAUAUUUUUUGCAAAUAAAUACUGAACACAUAAUCACAUC